AAAUCCCGCCCCCGGGCCAAUUCUGUCCCGCAGAGGCUUUCUGACCGGCCUGCGGCUUGCCGUGGUUUUUCCAAUGAAGCCCAGCCCGCGGCCUGCUCCUAGCAGGCCCGUUGCUACCACGGCAAAAAUGAGCACAUGUAAGGAAACGGCGCUGCGACGCACACAAAGGGCACAUACCAAGAUACUAGAAACAACAAGAGAAAGCUUCCUACCGUAACGCAGGUCCUCUCGCCAUAUUCUCGCAGGAUAUCUGCGUCAUCGUCUUGCAUCUUUGGCUGGAGUUCGUCGUAGCACGAGAGAAGGUAACAUACCCCGUCAGGCUUGAAAUCUUUCAUCGGGAUGAGCUUCUGUCCUUCGACGUUGGCAAGCAACGUGGCCAGGAGUAGCGUCAACACCUUUGGCGACAUGGUCCAAGUGCAGCAGGUGUUGUCAAGAGUGGGGUGUUGUGCGAACCCGCAUAUUUUAUGGCAGCCGUGACUUGAAAUGUAGAUUGCAGUUUCGCUGACCAAACACUGUGUCGGCCGAGACAAAGUCAAUGCGGAAAAUUGCUGUAUGUGGACACUUGCGCGACUUGUCUUUCCCAAAGACAAUGAGUGCUCAGGUGAGUACCUGGCAGUUAAUCAUUUUAUGUAGGUGGUAGUUAAUCAUAUUUACGUGCUAGUUGAUCAUUGUGUAGGGGGUAGUUAACCACAUUCUUUAGGUAGUGGUUAAUAUAUUGUGUAGGUGGUAGGGUCGUGCAAAUAUACCGAACUUCUGAUUAUCGAAGCGAAUGAUGCCAUAUUUGAUUCAAAGUUUCAAUUGAAUAGGGCUCUUUGGCAACUUCGAAUAUUUUCGAAGGUUGAAGUGCUGCAAAACACACCUUAAUUCAGACUAAAAAAGCAAAAACCGUAUAUAGCACAUGCUCAAAAUUAGUUCACCAACCAAGGCUGGAACAAAAGUAGCAAAAAAAUAGGAGCAUAAGCCUACUCUCUUGAAUCUAUUGCAGAUUGUGUUUCCAAUAGCUAACACCAAAGCGUUUGUGCAAAUGAGUCUAAAAUUUUUUCUCUAAAUAAACCGUGCCUUUUGUGGACACGCUUCUUGUUCAUUAAUUGUGAUCUUGACCUUAGUUCACUAUUAUAGAUGAUUCACAUGUGGACGACUCAGAAUAUGCACGAUUCUUCAGGACAACGUAAGUGUUCAGAUUUUUGAGGCAUGAUUCUAUUGAAAUAAGAGUAACUGUGCAGGUG